CCUCCGGCAACAAGGAGCCAGAACCUUCACCCUCAGGAGGGCCAGGUGUGUUUCGUUUGCAAGUUUUUUUAAUGUACAUAUGUUUAUACCGGCCAUAUAGUUCUUAUGAACAAAAUAGCGCAGAAUGCGCGUAUAUUUCUCAGAUCUCAGAAAUGAAAUAGGGUUGUCCUGGAAGUCAGGAAUGGUUGCCCACAUCCGUAAUAUGCGUUAUAGAUUGCAUGUUAUAGGCUGCAGAGGGCAGGAUACCACAUUUCUUUAUUUUGCUGUACUUACAUGUCCCCAAGUCAAUGCAAUGUACAUUCUGUGAACACCCAAUGCCUGGCUUUUCUUUCAAAAAAACACCGAAACCUCCGGUAGAGGAAAAGCCAACAAAGUGAUCUCCUGAAGAGAGUGGCGCUCCGCCUCAAGAACCAACUGCACCGAAGGACAAGACACCCCCACCUCCAACCUUUGGCAACAAGGAGCCAGAACCCUCACCCUCAGGAGGGCCAGUGACACCGAAACCCCCAGGAGAGGAAAAGCCAACAAAGCCAGCUCCGGCUGAGAGUGGCGCUCCUCCUCAAGAACCAACUGGACCGAAGGACAAGACACCCCCACCUCCAACCUCCAGCGGCAAGGAGCCAGAACCAUCACCCCCAGAAGGGCCAGUGACACCCAAACCCCCGGUUGAGGAAAAGCCAACAAAGCCAGCUCCUGAAGAGAGUGGUGCUCCUCCUCAAGAACCAACUGGAGCGAAGGACAAGACACACCCACCUCCAACCUCCAGCAACAUGGCGCCAGAACCAUCACCCCCAACACCAGGCCCAGGUAUCAUAUUGGAA